UCCUCGUUCAGCCACGUCAGAAAAUACCCUUUCCAGAAGGUGACACGUGUCUAAACACACAGACAUGCCGCGUUUCAUUUAAAUGUGGUUUCGUGGAUAUUUAGUUAAACUGGGUCUUACAUGUCUUUUUGUUUGCGAGCCCAUCAAUUAAUUCAUCCAGAUGUAAACGCUCUUCUUAACGCCGUUUUAGUAUUAGGGUUUUGCGCAUAGCUUUCGUCUCUGGCAUACGAUGUCGAGACAGAACUAGAGUUCCCUUAUCGCGCAGCCGAUCUUUCACCGUCUUCAUGUCGGUUGCGAGAUGAGACCAGUAACCGAAAUUCUGUCAUAAAGCCCUCCAUCAAUCGAGCACCCAUCAUCUAUAUUAAAUGCGACUCCUGGGACUGCAAGUAGAACGGCCGCUCUUCCUCCACCGUUCAAGUUCGCCUGCUCCGUUUCUGGGAGGCCGUGGUGGAGAUCUCAUGGGAGUCGACAUGCUCCUUCUUGAUUCUCAGAUGGAUAUAUAUCUGAAACCAAGCCUCUGAAUUAUAUGGCUGGAUUAAGGAUGAUUUUGUGGCUGAAGGAUUGAAAACAGUCAAGAAUAGGGCUCAAGUUGUCAAAGCUUUGGUACGAAGAGUUACUUCUCCAUCUUGAGUCUGAUGAUUCUUCUCAGUAUCCCAGAUUGGCCUCUGAGCUUUCCUUGCUAUCAACUUUGAAUCAAGCUGGUGAAUUGACUCUUUUCAGUCACUUUGCCAUAAAAAUAAUAGCUGAGAAAUCGAGGUUCACGUGUGAGUAGACUCGGUGGAGAUCACAAAAUGGAUAUAUCCUCAAAGGUUGUUGAGCUCUUGCCUGAGAUGAACACUCUAGGGAUUUACUAGAUCGACAUUUCGGGGUCUUGCAGUGUUCCUGCAGCAUAACCGUGACGUAUCAAGACAUGACAGGCGCCACGUGGUCGAAGGAUAGGUUCUGGACCAGAACAAGACUCUUAAAGAACGGAGGCGCUAAAUAACUGGGCUAAUGACAAAGAUAUAGUGUAUGUUGCAGCUGGAAUUUACAAGAACAAGAGCUUGCCGAGUUUGUAUGUUGAUGCAAACCGGUUUGGGAGCGUUGGCUAGACGAUUUCCUUUGAACGAUUUGAAUACCCGUCAGUGUAGACAUACUAUCGUCAUAUGGCUUCUUCGUUUCUAGGAAGAGAACAAGAAGUUGCUAUGUGACAUCAUCUCUGUGAGGAAGUAGCUGCCACGCCAAUAACCUUGAGAAUUGUUGCAGGACGUGCUACUACAAGCAUAUGAGAAAGAUAUUGGCUUCAAUCUGACACAACAUAGCUACCAUUCCCCUGCAACAUCUAACAUACCUACUUCAACAUUUUGCUUUUUCAAAUCUCAAAUAAAUUAUAUUUUCUUUAGCUUCAUAUUGAAGAACGAAUAGUAUUAGUUAACUUUGUACAAAAUUACAGACCGGAGUUAUGAGGCUAAGUGAUCUUCAAAAUAUUUGUAUGCAUAACACAGAAAUUACAUGUAACAACAAUUUUUUUUAAAAACACGAACACACUAACUUCAGUCGGAAAUACAUAUGAAAUGAAGACCCAUUAUAAAGCGCAAACUCUUUCCGAAAAAUUGAGAAUAAUUCAAUAGGAUAAAGCUAGGGGUGUCAAUUGGGUUAAUUCGCCCUGCCCUGCCCAAAACCCGCAAAUUCCAUUGUUAUUUGAGUCUGCUUUGGUCCGCAAAAGUUUUGGGCCAAAAUAUUUCAAAGCCCUGCCAACCCUGAAAAAGCUAUAGUUUUUUUUGUGUGUUUUUGGGCUUUAAAAAUAUAAAUUAUAAUUGAAUACAUUAAUUUUAAAAACAAAAUUAAAUUAAUUCCAAAUUUAAAUAAUCAUCCAUAUAUAUAUUUAUAAAAUCCAAAAUUAAAAUAAAUGUCUUACCUAAUAAACCAAAUAAACAAUAAUAUCGAAUACAAAUAAAAAAAAUUAUUUAAACUCUGAGAAGUAGAAACAAUGGAUUGAGAUCAUGAUGUUUUUGUGACUUUCACAUUUUCCCCGUCUUCAGGAGUUACAUAUAUUUAAAAAUAUUAACUUUUGACAUAUAUGUCAGUAUAAUUUUUUUUUAGAAAUAAUUGAAUCGCAAAACAUAAAUCUUCAAACAAAAUAUGUAUACAAAUCAGUGAUUCAACAUGUAUUGGUCGGAGAUAAAUUCUAUAUUUAUUUAAUACAUGAUCACCAAUGUUUGAGUAUUUGGCAGCUAACAAUGCUAACUCCCGAGAACGCCGGGGCUUUCACAUCGUUGAUAGAUCUUCCGCCUAUACAAGAAGUGGAGCUUCUCCAUUUCACUGAUUCGUUGAGGUCUUCUCAAGCGGCGGCUGUAACCGGAAUCGGUUGUAUAUUUCUACACUGCCGCUUUACUCUUACGAGACAUUAACUUUUCCUUUAAACUCAGCCCUCUUGGCGAGCAGCUCGAUCCUCCGUGAUUGCUAUUGAGCAACAUCAAAACGGAAACGUCUCCGGAGAGACUACUACUACGACCUCGGUACCUUAUACCUCCAACUCUAGGCUGGAUAGAGUUAAUACCGAGCUUGGUGAGACAGAUUCAUCUCAGCGUUUGGUUCCUGAUCAGAAACGCGUGUCCUAGCGAGAACAAUCGAUCGGGCAAGAUAAAAUAACUCGGACAAGGAGGUGAGACACAAGUUAUGUUUUGUUAACAUUUCAUAAAGCCAGUGAUUGUUGAAUUCUUGACACAUGUCCGUGACAUUAUUUAUAGGUUAAAAUCUCAACGAAUAAGAAGAAUUGUGAAACGGAUCAUGAAGAAGAGGUGGUGGAGAAGAUGAUGUCAUCUUCGACGUCGGAAGCUGUGGAGCAUGAAUGGUUGGUUUCCAGUUCAACAUUUGAGAACAAUAACAUAUACGCUGACAAGAACAAUAAGAACAAUUUAAAACAAAUAUACGUUUUUAUUGAAGAUUAAAUAUCUUUAAUAUAUAUAGAAGUUUAAUUAUUUUUUUCAUUUGAAAACCCGCCCUACCCUAGUUAACUAUAUAGUAUAUACCAACGGCCACUGUGUUGUUACUGUGCAUAAUUCAUUGUGACUCUGCUGCUCCUACUCCUGCAAAAUGAACUUUACGUUUUUGAUAGACAAAAUCUUGUAAAAAGAUUUGGAUAGAUUUUACUUCCUGCACUCAUAUCUUUUUGUAACGUCAGAUCAAAUUGAGUUCUCUCUUUUGCCUAUUAUCAAACUUUUUGAAAUUCAAAAUCGUUCUCUCUCUCUAUUGCUCACACAUCUGGACGCCACAAUCUCUUCAAUCUAGGAAUACUAUCUUUGUUUACGGCCAUGGAGAUCUCUCUCUACCACUUCUCUCUUCUUUUUGGGUUUCACGCCGUCCUCGCGUUUCAUCUUCCGUGCCUCGCCGGAAAAUCCUUACCAGUUUUAUAGUUGAAAACUGGAGGUGUAAGCGCUUGGAGAAAAGGGGAAGUUAAUCAGUUUGAAGGAAAAAAUGGAGAACAUGCUAAAAGCAAGGAUGAUGCUUCUGGUACUUAUUGCAGAAGCUUUGUCCCAAAGAUAGAUGAUGUUCAUUCUUAUGGAAACUGCCAGACCUCAGAUCACCAGCUGAAACACAGAUGAUGCUAAAAAUAAGGAUAUCAUUUCACUUACACGGGUUAUAAAUAGUGAAACUAUAAUGUAAGUUAUGUUAGACGGCAACAAUAAUAUUUUAGUAUUGUCACAAACCAAAAACAAUAGACGGUUAUAUAAUUUAUUAGCCAGAAUAUUUAAUGUUUUUAGCCGGCUAACAACAUUUUGUAAACAUAUUAUGGGUAAAUAAUUAAAAAAAUUCCAGUUCAUUAGAAAUCUUACUUUAGCACUAUGGUUAGAAUGAAAUACAUUAUGUGAUUGUUUCUUUGGAUUUGAAUCAAGAAAAUUAACCAGUUUGACAAAAUAUUAUAUGGAGAAAUAAUUGAUUUAGUCGUCAAAUCCAAUAUGUGAUGGAGAUGAUAACUCGAAUGAGUUACGUGAUGGAUUUAUGCCAGAAAUAGAAAUAGACCUAUGCUUUGGGCACAUGGUCAAUAAAUAUUUAAGGUUUAAACCAGGGAGAUGGUGAGCGCAUGGCUCGUCGUUUGGUAUCAGAAGAUGUGUUUUUGAUUGUCCGAGAAAAAUAUGAUUUUAUCUAGAAGGUUCUCUGCGGAUAUGUCAAUGCCAGUUGACAUUACCAGUACAUAUACAGAUAUCAGUUUUUACAUGGUUUUAAAAUAAAUAAAUGAUAUUGUAAUUGUGUUAGACGGUUAAAAUAUUUUUUGGUGCAUAGUAACAAACCAAAAAUAAUAUAUGGUUUCAUAAUUUAUUAGACGGGAUAAUUAACAUUGUUAGCUGGCUAACAAAAUAUUAGAACAUAUUAUGGAUUAAAUUGUUGGUAAAUAUGUUAAAAAAAACUUCUAAUCCAUUAGAAAUCUCAUUGUGCUACUGUGGUAAGAAUGAAUCUCUAAUUAUUGGUUACUUGAUAACAGGUGGUAACAUAAUUUAUUCGAUGGUCACAUAUUUUAGCAAAAGAAUGGCACACUUAACCGACUAUGAUAUUAGUUACCUGCUACAAUUAUUAAUAACAUCUUUAAUAUUCAUAUUAACCGGCUAAAGAUUAUAUAUGUAUAUAUAAACAUAUUUUCUCAUAUUAACUUGAAUUAUGUAAUACGAAGAUAGCGCUUUUCUUUGUGAUGAAACCAUCAAGAGACCUUUUCUCGAUUUGUGCACAAACUCGUUCUGAGGUAAUGUGGUCUUGAUCGUCGGAGCUGUAAACCUAGGAAUCUUUAACGAAAGAGGAACAAAUUCUGUGAGGGGGCAUGCUCUUGUUUGGGUCUGAGUCCAUGAAGGAUUGAUUGUAAUCAGCUGAUUGUGUAGAUCAUUAUGGUGGAACACAUACUUUGAUUUUGUUUGGAUUCAUUAGAAAAAUAAAAAAGUAAGCAGAGGAAGAAGAUAGAGAAAGAAGAUAAAGAUAAGGAAAAAAUAGUAUUUUUAUUUAUUUAAAAAAUUCAGAGAUCUUGUGGAUAGAAAUCAUCUUUUAGAGAGCACUGUUUAUAAUCGGUUACCGAGGCAAGAUCAUAAUAUCAAAACCAAUUAUUUCUACGAUAUAGCUAAAUCUUAGUAAAUCUCAAAUGUCAUAGUAUGCAUAGGACCCUACCUGGAAGUCGAGUCGCCAAGGAUCAGGGGUAGUUUUGUCUUUCUAAUCCGAUUUAUUACGCCAUGUAAGCAAAACUUUUUCUCCUAUGGCACUUGCAUAAUUUCCGCUUCUUCUUAUGUUUUUCACCCAAUUAGCUCUAUAUUUUAUGGCCUAAAACAGACCCAACUUUUAGUUAUCUUCUUCGCACAUCAUUUAUCAUAACAUAGAAACCAGUGUUCAGAUAUGGUUAGAGUCAACACAAUAAUUGUCCUUUCGGAAAUAUCCGAAUAAAAUUGAAACUAUACAGAGACGAUUAGCAUGGCCCAUGCGCAAGAAAGACACACACAAAUCGAAAAAUUGUCCAAAUUCUUAGGAUAAUUUUUCUUUCAUGAAUUAGAUAUAUCUUUUCAUGAAUGUUACUCGAGUGUCAAACUCAGUUCUGUCUUUGAAAACUUAAAACUCUAAUUUCAGUUUUUUUGGUUGAAUCGUGCAUGUUCUUGUUCGAAAGUAUCAUUUCAUGAGUUUUUGUCAUUUAAUUCAAGGAUUGAUUUUUCAGAAUAUACCAGCGAAAUUGACGGCGUUCGUUGUUGCAACUCUGAUGAUCGGGAACAUAAUUCCCAAUUAUUUGUUAGAUUCGCUCACAAAAUUGAAUUUCUAUUUAACCUGAUACCUGUUUAGUUAUAUAUAUCUGCUACGCCAUUGUUCAUAUUUGCAAAUUACAAUGUGUCAGGUGGUCUUGCGCUAGUUUGGUUUUGAUGGAAUAUAAUAUGUACAAUCCAACCUGAUCUGCUCAUUGCCUGCGGUGUUGCAGUUCCCAUGGUCGGAGAUAAGCCUUUAACUUGUGCUUACAUCCAAACUAGUCUAGACAUAAAUGUUCCGAAGCAAGUGUUUGUCGUUGAACUUUGCCGUUUUGACCCCAUCCAUCCUGAUUGACACGCAUAGAUUAUAUACCGUAUAUGUUAAUAUCCAACCUUUUUCGAAUAUCUUUUUCGAAUGGGACCCUUUUUCGAAUAUCUUCCCCAAAAGAACAUACCAAAAGAAUAUGUAGAUAACACAUUCAGUCAACCGAAUCAAAUGAAACAUUCUAACAAAUCCAAUCAAAAUAUGUUUUACAAAAAUAAAUAUCUACCUAAAUUAUUGAUAGAAUCGUAAAGUUGUUGAUAAUUUUUUUUUAUAAAAUGGAUCUCAAAUAUUAAUUAUGCAUAGGGCCGGCUUAUUAGGGGGACAAGCGGUGCGACCGUCCCGGACCCAAGCUCGUGUCCCCUCGUAUAAUACUAAUUAAGGGGUCCAAUUUUUUAAAAAAUCUAUAUUUUUAUAUAUAAAAAAUUAUAAAUAUAAUAAAUAAAAUUGAAAAGGACCCAAAUUAUUUGAUAUGUAUAUAGUUUUAUUUUCAUUACAAAAUAUUACUGAUUAAAUUUUAAAAACAUUUUAAACAUUAUCUACAUGUAAUUUUAGAGGGUAAAAAAAAAUAUCUUUUGCCCUAGGACCCUUAACAGUGUUGAGCCGACCCUGAUUAUGCAUUUGUGUAUGAAUCCAACACACAAGAGAUGACAUCGAUUGAGCUUCUUAAUCUUCGUACACAUAAACUAAUCUUAUCCACCACCUGUUGGUUUUUUCCUCCAUUAGCCCAAAACCCAAAAUCAUGAUCCAUAUUAAGAGUCCAAAAGAAAAACAUAAGGAGAAAGAAUUAUCUAGAAUUAUGAAGAAGAAUAGAGAAAGUUAUGGAGUAGAAUAAUUAAUGUUAGAUAUUUUGAAAUAAGAUAAUAAUUUAGAGAAAUCUAGAACAUGUUAGAAUUUGCUUCUUCACUUGUAAAUAUGGGUGCUUGGCACCAUUUGUAUCAUCUAAGAAUCAAGAAAAAGAAUAGAGAGAAAACAUUUCAUAAAGAGUUCUAAGAGUCUUUAAGAAAUCUCCAAACACAAGCCUUAGUAAAAAUUCAUUUCCUAAAAUACGAAGGUUAUCUCAAAC